CCUGGUUGAUCCUGCCAGUAGUCAUAUGCUUGUCUCAAAGAUUAAGCCAUGCAUGUGUAAGCACACACUGUUUUAAAAGUGAAGCCGCGAAUGGCUCAUUACAACAGCCACAGUUUAUUAGAACUUACAAUCAUGGAUAACUGUGGUAAUUCUAGAGCUAAUACACGCACAAAAACUUCAACUGAAUUGGUUGAAGUGCUUUUAUUAGAACAAAAACCGAACGGCGUUUGACGAAUGUUGAACGUCGAAACUGUUUGGUGAAUCUGAAUAACUAUUUCUGAUCGCAUGGUCUAGCACCGGCGACAUCACUUUCAAGUGUCUGCCUUAUCAACCUUCGAUGGUAGUCUAUGCGACUACCAUGGUGAUAACGGGUAACGGAGAAUCAGGGUUCGACUCCGGAGAGGGAGCCUGAGAAACGGCUACCACAUCCAAGGAAGGCAGCAGGCGCGCAAAUUACCCACUCCCAGCUUGGGGAGGUAGUGACGAAAAAUAACGAGACGAUUCUCGUUUGAGAAACGUUAUCGAAAUGAGUACGCUUUACACACGCUAACGAGUAGCAAUUGGAGGGCAAGUCUGGUGCCAGCAGCCGCGGUAAUUCCAGCUCCAAUAGCGUAUAUUAAAGUUGCUGCGGUUAAAACGCUCGUAGUUGAAUUGUGGUCUUAGACAACAGUCCCCCUACAUAGGUGUGGCACGGUUGCUCGAGAUCUUCAUUCGUGGUUGCUGUUGUUGCUCUUCAUUGAGUGUCAAUGGUGCCUCGAGAUUUUACUUUGAAAAAAUUAGAGUGCUCAAAGCAGGUUGUGAUGCCUGAAUAAUGGUGCAUGGAAUAAUAGAAUACGAUCUCGGUUCUAUUUUGUUGGUUUUCGAACCGGAGAUAAUGAUUGAAAGGAACAGACGGGGGCAUUCGUAUUGCUGCGUUAGAGGUGAAAUUCUUGGAUCGCAGCAAGAUGAACAAUUGCGAAAGCAUUUGCCAAGAAUGUUUUCAUUAAUCAAGAACGAAAGUUAGAGGUUCGAAGGCGAUCAGAUACCGCCCUAGUUCUAACGGUAAACUAUGCCAACCAGCGAUUCGCCGAAGUUCAUUUAAGACUCGGCGAGCAGCUUCCGGGAAACCAAAGUGUUUCGGUUCCGGGGGAAGUAUGGUUGCAAAGCUGAAACUUAAAGGAAUUGACGGAAGGGCACCACCAGGAGUGGAGCCUGCGGCUUAAUUUGACUCAACACGGGAAAACUCACCCGGCCCGGACACUGGAAGGAUUGACAGAUUGACAGCUCUUUCUUGAUUCAGUGGGUAGUGGUGCAUGGCCGUUCUUAGUUGGUGGAGCGAUUUGUCUGGUUAAUUCCGAUAACGAACGAGACUCUACCCUAUUAAAUAGUGACAGUAUUGUAUUUUUUGUGCUGAUCACUUCUUAGAGGGACUGGCAAAUUGAAAGCUGCACGAAAAAGAGCAAUAACAGGUCUGUGAUGCCCUUCGAUGUCCGGGGCUGCACGCGCGCUACAAUGAAAGCGUCAACGUGAGUUACGUCCUUACCUGAAAAGGUUUGGCAAUCGAAUGAAACGUUUUCUUGAAUGGAAUAGGGAAUUGCAAUUGUUUCCCUUGAACGAGGAAUUCCCAGUAAGCGUGAGUCAUUAGCUCGCGUUGAUUACGUCCCUGCCCUUUGUACACACCGCCCGUCGCUACUACCGAUUGGAUGAUUUAGUGAGGUGUUUUGACUGGCGCCAGUAGUCGGAUGUAUUCGGCUUCGCGCCGGGAAAUUUCCCAAACCAAAUCAUCUAGAGGAAGUAAAAGUCGUAACAAGGUUUCCGUAGGUGAACCUGCGGAAG
rnacentral:rRNA from 1 species